AGCACGAUUAAGGUUGCAAAAAGUGAUGGCUGGGAAUGGAAGCCUGGGGCUGUUCACAAGGGUGACCUUCUCUUGUGUGGGAUAUUGCAGUACACAUCACAGUAAUAUCUAGUGGUACACCCCCCGCACCUGAGAGCUUUGGCUCUCGCUCCUCGCACCUCCAGCUAUUGACUUGCCGUCUGCUGUAUGGACACGUGGAAUAAAGCAUCGUUUGGCAAAUACUUCUCAGUGGAAUUUUUGUCUCCAGACCCAGCGAUAUUCUCAUCCUGCCAGCACAGCCCUGAGGUGUUACAUUGCUGAUGUCCCUUCAAGAUAUACUUCUGGGGACAAGGAAUAAAAUAUGGAGCCAUGCUGGGUACCAGAGAUGAGAGGCGAUCCAUGCUGGGAUUAGGAUUGAGAUGGGAGCCAUGUUGCGGAAUUAGGAACUGGGAAGUAGAGGGGAGUCAUGCUGUGGGCUAUGAGUUUUACCAGAACAAAGAUGGGGGCUGGAGACUCAAAAUGAUUCCAUGAAACAUCUUGUAAAUUUUACUGAAUUCCUUGUAAUAAUCCACUGAAAUAUAGAUGUUGAAUAGAUACUUUGUCACUGUGCCUUUAAAGAGUAGCUCCCACCAUCCUUUUAUUUUUUCUGUC